UUUGAUCCUGGCUCAGGACGAACGCUGGCGGCGUGCCUAAUACAUGCAAGUCGAACGAACUCUGGUAUUGAUUGGUGCUUGCAUCAUGAUUUACAUUUGAGUGAGUGGCGAACUGGUGAGUAACACGUGGGAAACCUGCCCAGAAGCGGGGGAUAACACCUGGAAACAGAUGCUAAUACCGCAUAACAACUUGGACCGCAUGGUCCGAGUUUGAAAGAUGGCUUCGGCUAUCACUUUUGGAUGGUCCCGCGGCGUAUUAGCUAGAUGGUGAGGUAACGGCUCACCAUGGCAAUGAUACGUAGCCGACCUGAGAGGGUAAUCGGCCACAUUGGGACUGAGACACGGCCCAAACUCCUACGGGAGGCAGCAGUAGGGAAUCUUCCACAAUGGACGAAAGUCUGAUGGAGCAACGCCGCGUGAGUGAAGAAGGGUUUCGGCUCGUAAAACUCUGUUGUUAAAGAAGAACAUAUCUGAGAGUAACUGUUCAGGUAUUGACGGUAUUUAACCAGAAAG
rnacentral:rRNA from 2 species